rnacentral:lncRNA from 1 species
ACCUAUGGAGUAUCCACAAGUUAAUCCUCAACCUGAUGUGCCCAGUGAUGAGGCAUGACCAUAAUACACACCUCCUCACCAAAAGAUCAAUUCAAGUGUAUAAUGUACCACUCAAAUAUGGAUUUAUCAUUGUGAAAGGUAGUACACCAUACAUUAUUGUGAAUGAUGUUUUUCUUGAUCUAUUUGGAGUAAGUCAUGAAUAAUGACUCUAACA